rnacentral:rRNA from 1 species
CCUACGGGAGGCAGCAGUGAGGAAUAUUGGUCAAUGGGCGUAAGCCUGAACCAGCCAAGUCGCGUGAGGGAUGAAGGUUCUAUGGAUCGUAAACCUCUUUUAUAAGGGAAUAAAGUGCGGGACGUGUCCCGUUUUGUAUGUACCUUAUGAAUAAGGAUCGGCUAACUCCGUGCCAGCAGCCGCGGUAAUACGGAGGAUCCGAGCGUUAUCCGGAUUUAUUGGGUUUAAAGGGUGCGUAGGCGGCCUUUUAAGUCAGCGGUGAAAGUCUGUGGCUCAACCAUAGAAUUGCCGUUGAAACUGGGAGGCUUGAGUAUGUUUGAGGCAGGCGGAAUGCGUGGUGUAGCGGUGAAAUGCUUAGAUAUCACGCAGAACCCCGAUUGCGAAGGCAGCCUGCCAAGCCAUGACUGACAUUGAUGCUCGAAAGUGUGGGUAUCAAACAGGAUUAGAUACCCCUGUAGUC